rnacentral:rRNA from 1 species
GAUGAACGCUGGCGGCGUGCCUAAUACAUGCAAGUCGAGCGAACGGACGAGAAGCUUGCUUCUCUGAUGUUAGCGGCGGACGGGUGAGUAACACGUGGAUAACCUACCUAUAAGACUGGGAUAACUUCGGGAAACCGGAGCUAAUACCGGAUAAUAUUUUGAACCGCAUGGUUCAAAAGUGAAAGACGGUCUUGCUGUCACUUCUAGAUGGAUCCGCGCUGCAUUAGCUAGUUGGUAAGGUAACGGCUUACCAAGGCAACGAUGCAUAAACGACCUGAGAGGGUGAUCGGCCACACUGGAACUGAGACACGGUCCAGACUCCUACGGGAGGCAGCAGUAGGGAAUCGUCCGCAAUGGGCGAAAGCCUGACGGAGCAACGCCGCGUGAGUGAUGAAGGUCUUCGGAUCGUAAAACUCUGUUAUGAGGGAAGAACAUAUGUGUAAGGAACUGUGCACAGCUUGACGGUACCUAAUCAGAAAGCAACGGCUAACUACGUG